AAGGGUAUAGUUCAGUGGUAGAGUGCACGCUUAACACACACAAGGUCCUGGGUUCGAUCCCCAGUACCUCUG
rnacentral:tRNA from 1 species